UUUAUAAUACCAUAAAUGUACUUCUUGAAUUUAUGUUCUUAAAGGAAGGAAACUUCUUUUAUGUAUGCCUAUUUAUAGGUUUUAUACGUUAAUUAACAACCUAAAUAUCAUAAAUUUUCAACGAUGGAUAUCUAGGCUCCUAUAACG
rnacentral:rRNA from 1 species